AUGGAUUCCUGGAACUGCAAGACUUGUAGCUGUGGCUGUGGGGUGGACCAUGGAAACAGAUCAGCAGGAAGAAGACACGAAAGAAAAAUGGCAUGGACCUUCAUGUCCUUCAGAGUGACGGUGGGCUUGGGCCUUGCAAUGAGAACAAGUAUCACCCAGGAUGGAGAUCGGCCAGGGGCGGGGGUCAUGGGUGGGCUACAGGUACCUCCUACCACUGACAACAAGGAGGCAGAAUUUCCUUGGUCUAGACUAGAGUCUGGGUCAUGGGCAUGGCCGUGCUUGAGCUUCUGACCAGAAGCAGGUGGACAUGGAUUUGAGCUUCGUGUAAGAAUGGAGACUCCCCUCCAGGGACCAUAGGGGCUGGCAGCUGAAGAAGGUGACCUGGCCCCCGUCUAGAAGGUGAACACAGGGUAAACCCAAGCCCAUGAAGUGGAUGCAGCUGGGAAAAUCUGCCUGGUGCUUUCAAACCUCAACAUCAAACACUGCUCACACCUCAAACACUGCUCACACCAUGGUAAAAUCUAGUUGCAAAAUCUGUCCUGCAGCAGUUUUCUUUCCAGACGCUCAGGCCUCUCCUGGCAGCAGGCAGCUCUCCCCACCCACCCCCUCCACUCGUGCCCCUCCUACAGCCCAAGGCAACUCCCAGCAACCUUUGUGAACCAAGCCCAUCUUGCCGCCCAGGCUCCGGAGCUGUUUGCAUGUUGUGCAGAUGCAGCCUUCAGCCUUGGAUACCCACCCACUCCUCUGCUUGGGAGUUGUUUUCACAGGCUGCUCUUCCUGUAGCUUCAGAGAAGUAGGUCAAGUAGGUUAAAUUGCUUUGAAGGAGAAGUGCCAGGGGUUCAAGUCAUCCAGCCUGGAGGCAGGAAUCCUGGGUUCUAUUUCUGGCUUCACAGCUAAUCAGCUGUGUGACAGGCGUUAGGGGCUCAUUCUCCCAUCUGGGUCUCCCUGGGUCCUUCUCUAGGUCCCACAAUUUUUUUAUUUUCUUGAAGCUAUAUUCCCUGGGACUGUCUUCUUCCUCCCUCUUCCCUCCCUCUGGGAGGUGCUUUAAAGAUGUUGGCUGCUCAAGGCUGGCAUCCUGGGCAAGAGGGGCUGCAGUUGUUGUAGCCGAUGAGGACUACAACAACUGCAGCUUUUGUGUAGACACGGUAGAGCUUAUGGGGCCAUGUGAGGCUGGAGUGUCAGGAAGUCAGACUCCUGUAACUACAGGACAGGCCCUGGUGAUGUGAUGACGGGGAUGCUGAAGCCCAGAAUUUGAGUUCGGGCUCCUGGGUUUUAUGCAAUGGCUGGAGAU
rnacentral:lncRNA from 13 species